rnacentral:lncRNA from 1 species
CUAAUAUAUAAACAUCGACACGAACACCCGGCAUAAAACUCAAACUCAGACGCAGACUUGAGUAGAGAGAGAGAGAGGGGCAGAAAUGGCGUUAAAUGCGGCACCGCCGGAUGACUUACAUGACCUAUUCCAAUCUGUCUGCAUACCUGGUGAGGCUGUGCCUCAAGGAGCCCUACCUCUCUGAAGCCUUGCCCCAAUGACCCGUGAGAAGAUCCACUUUACCGCCUCCAAAUGGAUCAACGGCAAAC